rnacentral:rRNA from 1 species
ACGGCUCAGUAACACGUGGACAACCUACCCAAAGGUCUGGGAUAACUCCGGGAAACUGGGGAUAAUACCGGAUAGGUCAAGAGUACUGGAAGGGUUUUUUGAUUGAAAGCUCUGGCGCCUUUGGAUGGGUCUGCGGCUGAUUAGGUUGACGCCGGUGUAAAGUACCGGCGUGCCGAUUAUCAGUACGGGUUGUGGGAGCAAGAGCCCGGAGAUGGAUUCUGAGACACGAAUCCAGGCCCUACGGGGCGCAGCAGGCGCGAAAACUCUACAAUGCAGGCAACUGCGAUAGGGGAACAUCGAGUGGCAUCUACAUUAGGUGUCUGUCCAGCUGUCUAAAAAACGGCUGUUAGCAAGGGCCGGGCAAGACCGGUGCCAGCCGCCGCGGUAAUACCGGCGGCUCGAGUGGUGGCCGAUAUUAUUGAGUCUAAAGGGUCCGUAGCCGGCCUUGCAAGUCUUGUGGGAAAUCCAGCGGCUUAACCGUUGGGCGUCUGCGGGAUACUACAUUGCUUGGGACUGGGAGAGGUAGGAGGUACUCAGGGGGUAGGAGUGAAAUCCUGUAAUCCUCUGGGGACCACCGGUGGCGAAGGCGUCCUACCAGAACAGGUCCGACGGUGAGGGACGAAAGCUAGGGGCACGAACCGGAUUAGAUACCCGGGUAGUCCUAGCCGUAAACGAUGCCCGCUAGGUGUCACGGCAGUCGUGAACUGCCGUGGUGCCGUAGGGAAGCCGUGAAGCGGGCCACUUGGGAAGUACGACCGCAAGGUUGAAACUUAAAGGAAUUGGCGGGGGAGCAC